ensembl:lncRNA
ACAGGUGCAGAACAGGUUUCACACGGGACAAAAGCGCUGCAGGGAAAAUUCUCAGGCAUCCACACACCAAGGGAGCCCCAGCGAGGGUCAGACACCCGGAGCAGCAGCCACAGGACACGGCCUGCAAAAUUCUGCUGAUGAAAUCAAAUCAGGAAAAAGUGUUGUGACAGAUUCUCCAUCAGUACCCUCUGAAUUUCACUGGCUGAUCCUGCAUGAGACCCUAUUUUCAUGUGAAGAAAAGGGAUAUAAAAUUAAAAUCCUCUAAGGCAGGCACUAAAACUCCUCUGCGUGAAUUUUGAGCGUGCUUUAAAAAGAAAAAAAACCAAAAAAAACCCACAAAAACAUCUCUAAAUCAACCUGACACAGCUUUAGUUUUCAUUGUUCAACAGCCUGGACCUUUAAAAAUAUUAGCUUCAGGUUAGAAAAUAUUUGUCAACCCAAAUCCAAAUAGUUAUUCUUGCACGGACUGCCUCGGUUUUGUUUGAAAAUAAACUUCACAGGAACUGUGAACAUCAGAAACUCCAUCUAGGACAGGGAUAAUGUGUCAGGAAAGGAAGAUUUAUAGCAGCAGGAACAAGGGGGAAGGAAACAUUUCAAUCAAAUGACAGAGCAGUUUAAAAGCUCAAGUGCUAUAUUUAAUUUCUGCACUGUCCUUUUUGCUCUGCUCAUUCUGUAAGUUAAUAGCUUGACAGCUCUUCAGAUGGAUUUCUGGAGGAUCUGUCACCUCGGUAUCCAUGCACCAGGUGCACACACACAAACAGAAUGCCUUCCACAAACACCCACUUCAAAAGAGAAACUCAAAAUAAAUGUUGUUUUCUUUUUAAGUCCAAAAAACAAAAGUCUGCAGUUUCGACAAAAUGUCAAUAUUUCAAAAGGAGCUUGGGUAGCUUUGCCUCUUCUCUGCCUCGGGGGCACUUUUCUCCCACAUCCUGCUGUGGUUUCUACCUUGUCACCCCACAGUCAGCAGCGCUCCUGGCUACCUCAUAAUCCCAAAAAUGACAUUUCACCUUCUCCCCAGGGCACCUGCGAGUCAAACCCCCAGAGCAUCACCCCUGAAUUUAACCAGGAGAACGUGAACCUUCACCCAAGCACCUCCCUGCCCUGGGGAAGGGCCGAGCAGCCCUUUGGGGGUUUUCAUGAAGGUUUAUUCCAUGCACUGGAGCACACAUUGUCUCUGGAGCUGGAUCCCAGACAGGACUUUGCACAUGAAAUUUGCUCUUUGCACAUGAAAUGAGAUGAGUUCUAUUACAACCUGACAGAUGAGAACCUGCUGCAAGCAGCGCCUGUUGAGUAAAUUCUUAUUUCAGCGCCCUCCCUGCCAGCAGUUGCUGUCCCUGGUUUGGUUUGGGCUGGGUGACACCUGAUCCCUGCACGUGUUGUUUUUUGGAAAUACCAGCCACAGUCUGGGACAAAGAGAGGUUCACACAUUCCUCUGGCUCAUCCUCGCCUCCCUUUUUCCCUCCUCGGUGCAAUAUUUUCCAUUCAAACUCCACUCGGUGGGAAAAUCAGCGUUUGGAUAAAUGACAUCAGUUCUUUCUGCUGUAGAACUUGAAUUUAUCUGGGUUUUGGCCUCUGAAUUAAAAGUAGGUGUGCACAUCCCUGUAGUUCCAGAGCCCACAAGUGCCAAGUGCAUCACCCACCCCAAAAAAUUGGGAUCUGCUCCUACUGGGAUCACAGCCUUGCCAUCCCCAACCUUGUGGGUAACAAUUUGUGUCCCAUCUCUGCUGUGAGAGCCAGAACUUGAGGAAUAUUUCUUGUAUCACACACUGGUCCCUGCCCAUUUUAACAAUACUUGAAAAGAUGGGGGAAAAAAGGGCUUUCUCAGGGGUUAUUUUAUAUAGAAACUCUGUAUUUAUAGAAGGAAUUAAUUAGAGAUUAAUAUCUAUUUGUGCCUUUCACGAGAAACAAUUCCCACGUCAGCAACAGCCAUUAAAGGCUCCAAACCAGGAAUUUCUGCUGAGAGAGCACCACCUUCACCAGGCAUUUCAGUUCUGACCUCAUGCCCAGCAGCAGCCCCCAGAUGUUUCAGGCACCCCCCAGAAUUCCGGGAGCUGUCAGAUGUGAUUCCAGCAGCACGGCACACGGAGCAUUUUCUCAGCAUUAGGGCAGAACUUUCACAGUUAAUUUCUUUAGGCGCUGUUCUCUCUCCAAAUUUAAGGGGACAGUGGAGCCAAAGAUAGCAAACAGUACAAAUUAAAUCAAUGUCAUGGCUUGGCAGUGAUAAUCCAUCAGGAGACAGCAGCAGGGCACAGGUUUCAGAACCUGUUUGACAGUCUGAGUUCUCUUUAUGUUUCAGAAGUGAAGGGAAUUAUUUGGCACUGCCCGUUCACACUGAUCAAGAGAUUCUGCUCGAGCAUCAGCAAGGGAAGCUCAUUUCUCCUCCUAAAUCUAACGAGGGGAUCAAGGAUUAAUUAAAUUCAGUCCAUCACAGGACAAAGGGUGAUUCAUUAGAGUGAAUUUCCAUUGGAGCCUGGGUUUGGGUGUGCAGUGUGUGGAGGAAUUCCAUGGGAUUCCUCUCCCUGCACAGCAGUGACCCGAUGGAUCACAGCUCCCAGCACACCCUUAAGCACAGGAGGACAAGCCUGGGGGUACAAACAGGCUCUGAGCAAGGAAUUUCCCCUCUCCAGGUAAAAUCCCUGCUCCACAAACCCUGGUUUGAUGCAGCCAGCUUGGGCUGUUUGCUUCCAUCCAGCACCUGGACAAAACAAACACUUCCCAAGUUAAAAAUGAAGGUUUUGUUACAGAACACCCUCCAGGCCAGAGACUGAGCCUCUCACCAGAUCCAUAACUUUUCAUUCCAGGGAGAUGCAGCAAAUUAUUUGUACAAAGAGAAGCCAGUGCUUGUCCUGACCAGCACAGCGGAUGGCCUGACUCCAAUUUACAUUCGUGUCUGGCACAGAGCCGGAACCUGUUCCUGGCUGUGCCUUCCCUGCUGCUGCCCUGGCUGAUCCAGGAAAUUCAGAUCCAGGAAAUUCAGAUCCAGAAAACCCAGAUCCAGAAAACCCAGAUCCAGGAAAUUCAGAUCCAGGAAAUUCAGAUCCAGAAAACCCAGAUUCAGGAAACCCAGAUCCAGAAAACCCAAAUCCAGGAAAUUCAAAUCCAGAAAACCCAGAUUCAGGAAAUUCAGAUCCAGGAAAUUUCAGCUCCAGAAAACCCAAAUCCAGGAAAUUCAGCUCCAGAAAACCCAAAUCCAGGAAAUUUCAGCUCCAGAAAACCAAAAUCCAGGAAAUUCAAAUCCAGAAAACCCGAGAUCCAGGAAAUUCAGCUCCAGAAAACCCAAAUCCAGGAAAUUCAGAUCCAGGAAACCCAGAUCCAGAAAACCCAGUGCUCUACAGCAGAGCCUGAAGAGAAUAAAUCACUGCUACCUCUGGGUCCUGGUUUCA